GGGCCUAUAGUGUUAAUUGGCUAAAACAGUAGAUUUGCAUUCUACAGUUCUGGGUUCAAGCCCCAGUUGGUCCA
rnacentral:tRNA from 1 species